rnacentral:misc_RNA from 1 species
CGAACCUCCAUUGCUGAAGGUUACCUGACAGACAGCCUACUAGCGUAUAUAGUUAUCACACCCAUGACGCCACCAAACACUGGAAAGCUGAUCGAUUUGAGAGGAGCCGACCACAGGCCAGCAAAACCUCCAGAAGUCCAAGCUCAUCACGGCAAACCAUGAGGAGUUGAGGUGUUCAUGAUACUCAAACAGGCAUGCCCCUCAGAAUACCCAAGGGGCGCAAGGUGCGUUCAAAGAUUCGAUGAUUCACUGAAUUCUGCAAUUCACAUUACUUAUCGCAUUUCGCUGCGUUCUUCAUCGAUGCGAGAGCCAAGAGAUCCGUUGCUGAAAGUUGUAUUUUAUUGCGUUAGACGCGGCACACAUUCCAUAAAA